UACGUAGGGAGCAAGCGUUGUCCGGAAUCAUUGGGCGUAAAGAGCGCGUAGGUGGCUUUAUAAGUCCGUUGUGAAAGUCAAAGGCUCAACCUUUGAAAGCCGAUGGAUACUGUGAAGCUAGAGUACGGAAGAGGCGAGUGGAAUUCCUGGUGUAGCGGUGGAAUGCGCAGAUAUCAGGAGGAACACCAAUAGCGAAGGCAGCUCGCUGGGACGUUACUGACACUGAGGCGCGAAAGCGUGGGGAGCAAACAGG
rnacentral:rRNA from 1 species